rnacentral:lncRNA from 1 species
ACUUAGGCUACUGAGCUGGAGUCGUAAUAGAGUGAUGAUCGUAGGACAGCCGAUCGGAUCCUUUGGAGCAGGAUGUUGGAGUCAAAUCCUCGAUCGAUUCUCUUGGACCAGCCUUGUAAAACCACUAAAGAUAGAAAAAUUCUCACGCGGGGUGGUUUUGUAGUGGUGGACCCUCCGAUGUCUAAGUUAAUCUCUCACAGAAGUACACAAAAAAUAUCUGAGCCAGAAAUGAGAUUAGCAGUGGUGUCGAAUAUGAAGUGCAGAAGAUCAAUAUUACAGAAUGGAGUGUGUGAGAUGGAGGAUAUCAUUUGGAGGAUGG